rnacentral:rRNA from 1 species
CAGUCGCCGCGGUAAUACGAAGGGGGCUAGCGUUGUUCGGAAUUACUGGGCGUAAAGCGCACGUAGGCGGAUUGUUAAGUUAGGGGUGAAAUCCCAGGGCUCAACCCUGGAACUGCCUUUAAUACUGGCAAUCUCGAGCCCGAGAGAGGUGAGUGGAAUUCCGAGUGUAGAGGUGAAAUUCGUAGAUAUUCGGAGGAACACCAGUGGCGAAGGCGGCUCACUGGCUCGGUACUGACGCUGAGGUGCGAAAGCGUGGGGAGCAAACAGGAUUAGAUACCCCGGUAGUCCCUGUCUCUUAUAC